rnacentral:rRNA from 1 species
AACGAACGCUGGCGGCAGGCUUAACACAUGUAAGUCGAGCGCCCCGCAAGGGGAGCGGCAGACGGGUGAGUAACGCGUGGGAAUCUACCCUUUUCUACGGAAUAACGCAGGGAAACUUGUGCUAAUACCGUAUGUGCCCUUCGGGGGAAAGAUUUACCGGGAAAGGAUGAGCCCGCGUUGGAUUAGCUAGUUGGUGGGGUAAAGGCCUACCAAGGCGACGAUCCAUAGCUGGUCUGAGAGGAUGAUCAGCCACAUUGGGACUGAGACACGGCCCAAACUCCUACGGGAGGCAGCAGUGGGGAAUAUUGGACAAUGGGCGCAAGCCUGAUCCAGCCAUGCCGCGUGAGUGAUGAAGGCCCUAGGGUUGUAAAGCUCUUUCACCGGUGAAGAUAAUGACGGUAACCGGAGAAGAAGCCCCGGCUAACUUCGUGCCAGCAGCCGCCGUAACAC